UGUUACACUGGAUGUAAUUGUAGAAGAUGAAAAAAGCUCUAGCCAAAAAAUGAGAGAUGCCUGUAUGCAGGAGGAUCAGCAGUUUUUGAUACAGAGUAAUUCACCAGUUAUAUGCACUGAACCUGUAGAGAAGCCAGAAAUUCCAUUUCAUUCAAACGACUCGUUGAAGGAGUGUGUUAGAAAUUUUUUUAACCUUGGUGGGGAUACCACAACCACAGUGUUAGCUGGACAGCCUGAUGAUACUACUGUUC
rnacentral:lncRNA from 1 species